AAUUUUAAAUUACAAAAAAAAAGCCCCUAAACAAUCUAGAAAUAACAGGGAUAGCCUUCAGCAGCCGGAACAGUGUUCAACAAAUUUUCUGGGUGCAGGAACAGUGAUGGCGCGUGGAUCCCACGCACCACCGCCACUGGCGGCGCGUGGGACCACGCGCCACCGUGAAAAACAACCCGAAACAGGGGGGGUCUGCAACGACCUCCUCCCCCUUUCUUUCCUCGCCGGCGCCGACCUGCAAUUACAACAAAAAACCCAACAAAGCAGUCGAUUUUAAAUUUUUCUUAGUUUUUUUCAGAUCUGUUUUUUCUUCUUCUUCUCCAUAUCUGCUUCGGAUUUUUGCUUCUUCUUGUCCGAUCUGGCUUCUCCUUCUCUGUUUCAGGCGACGGACGGCGCUGCUGGAGGCCGAUCUGGUUUGUGGCGGCGUUGAUGAUCACGAGUCUGCGGGGAGAAGCAACUGCUGGGAUGGGUCGGCCAGGAGGGGGUCGGUUCGGUUUCUGUGGACGGUCUGGCCCCUCGUCUGGUCCCUGUCCGGCGUGAGGCUGAGCUCGGGCUGUUGAAGCUACGGUGGAGCUGGCCUGGCCGCUGGUCUGCGGGGAGAAGAUCAGGAAGAAGACAGCGGGGAUGGAGAGGGACGGCGCCGCUGGGUUCUUCGGGUGGCUGAGGAUGAAAGGAAAAAAAAAAAGGGUUCUCUGGGGGGAGGGACUGUCGGCAGGUUGAGGGAAAAAAAAAUCAAAAGGGGAAGGGCUGCUGUUUGGUUUCAAUUGGGAGGCAGAUGGGAGAAGAGAAAAAAUGUUAUCGAGUGUGUGGGUUUGUGGAGACCGAAAAUCAACACCCCGGGGGGGGGGAAGAAUAAAUCAAAGAUGGGGGACCGUGAGGGUGAGAAGGGAGUCUCUGUGUUUUGUUUUCAAGCGGUUGUGAGGAGAAGAUCAAAAUCCCCGGGGGGUGGCCGGCGGCUAAAAAAAAAAAUCAAAACCCAGCAGGGGCUGGCGGCUGGUCCUUCAUGAGGAAAGGAAGAUGGUUCGUUUUUUUUUUUUUUUUUUUUAGGGUUUUCCCCCUUGUGUUGCCUCCCAAAAUUACCAAAUGAACCCCCCUUUUGAGUUUUGAACCAGUAUUUAUAGAAAUUUUGUAGGUUUUUCAAACUUGGUCCCUCAACUUCUUUUUUUUGUAAAUUUUGAUUUUUUUUUUUUUUUGUAUUUUUUAAAAACGAGCAAAUCAACGUCGAUUCUAUGAGAAAAAUUGAUUUUAAAAUGACGCGUGAAAAGUCGAACGCGUUCGAAAACUUGAAAAUUAAAAUUCUUUUAAAAAUUAAUUUUUAAGACGCUGAAAAUGCUAAAAUGACAAGAAUAUAUUAAAAAAAUAUAUUUUUUGGAUUUUGAUUGUUUUUCUCUAUUUUUGGAUUUUUUCGAAAAUAUAUCAAAACAUGGGUCAAAAAUUGGGUAGCAACAAUUAUAAUACAUAGUUAGGUUUAAAGUUGAUGAGAUAUCUAUUGUUAACUAAUAUUUUUUGAGUUUUAAAAUAAUUAGGUUUUAAUUUGAUAAGAUAUCUAUUGUUAACUAAUUUCUUCUUUAUACAUUGUUAUUAUCAAAGAAUCAUUAUAAACUUAAAAGCUUAAAGUUUUAAUUAUAAUUUUAUAUUAUUACUAGAACAUCUUUUCAAGUGAAAAAGACUUGACAUGGUUUUCUAUAAUAGGUUAAGCCUUCUAAUUAUUUUUAAUCUUUUUAUGCCCAUCCAACGGCUCUGCUGAAUUGCUUGAUACAUCAUAAAAUGACUUGAUUUUGUAAUGUAUAUGAUUGAACCCAUGCAAUCUGAACAUUGAAAAGUAAAAAAGAAUCUUUAAAAUUUGGUCCAGAAAAUGACUUGAUUUUUCAUGCCCAUCCAACGGCUCUGCUAAAUUGCUUGAUACAUCAUAAAAUGACUUGAUUUUGUAAUGUAUAUGAUUGAACCCAUGCAAUCUGAAGAUUGAAAAGUAAAAAAGAAUCUUUAAAAUUUGGUCCAGAAAAUGACUUGAUUUUUUAUGCCCAUCCAACAGCUCUGCUAAAUUGCUUGAUAUAUCAUAAAAUGACUUGAUUUUGUAAUGUAUAUGAUUGAACCCAUGCAAUCUGAACAUUGAAAAGUAAAAAAGAAUCUUUUAAAACUGAACAUUGAAACCUUCAAUUAAACUUCUUGUAAGAGCAUGUGAUAGCUAGAGUUUUAUUUACUUAACUGGAUUCACAAAAUACACUUUUCAAAAAAUAAGAUUUUCUCAUAUCCAAAAAUAAAAAAAAGUGUUCAGCAUCAAUGGUUGGACCCACGGAAUGUGAGGCUUGAGAAGUAAUAAAGACUUGGCAUGGUUUUCUGUCUUUUCUAUGCCCCGCUAACGGCUCCGCUAGAUGAAUUGAUUUUUUGACGUUAUUAGAAAAUUAAUAAUCAACAUGAUCGAACCCAUGGAAUCUGAACAUUGAGAAGUAAUAAAUAAUGCAUCUUUAAGAUUUAUGGUCAAGUCUUUGUUCAUGUAAUUCAGCAUCUUUUGUUUUCCAUAUCAUGUCGAUCAAAAUUGCAUUGUCAAGCAGAGAACAAAAUAAUAAAGCUAAAGCACCACCACAAGUUGAUAUAUUACUUUAUAUAUAUAUAUAUAGGUACUCUACCGAGGUAUUGUUUAAACUAUAUUUUAUUUCAACAAAAAAAUAACAUAGCCUUCUACGCUUGUAAUUGCUAAACCAUUUUGUAUUCAGAAUAUAUUAUUUAUACUAUUCUCCCAUGAAAAUUCUUGGCUGUGAUAUUCAUACACCAAUUGCUGGCUCUAUUUCAUACACCAUGGAAGACUUGGUUGAUUUGGUCGAUGACGUGGACACCUAUGGUGAUGGGGAAGAAGACGUUGCGGAUGAUGAGGACUUUUGGGGACAGCAGCAACGGGUUGGAAAAAUCAGAUCUGGCGAAGGAUGGAGACAAUUAUCAUGUAUUGAUAUUCAAAUACUCGAAAAACAAAUUAGGUGGUGUGCUGCCUCAAUCAGAAGAUUUGAAUAACUUUCAUAAUAAUUUUUUAAUAUCAUGAAUUAAUUAUUUGAAUUUGAUUAGUUACUAAGUGGUGCAUAAAUAAUGUUUUUAAAAUGCUAAAAUCAUAUUUAGAUUAGUCCAACGAUUUAGAAAGGUUUAUUCACCUUAAUUUACAUUAAAUUAAUCUUCAUUUUUAUUAUUAUUUUAAAGUUUUAUAAGUUUUAUCAAUUUUAAUUCACAUCGAGAAAAUAUAAUUUUUAAUUAAAAAAAGAUUCUAAUAAUAUUUUAUUAAUUAAACAUGAUUUGUUUUUAUAUAUUAAUUUUCGAUAUUAACCUUUAGGCUAUGCGUGUUUGUAUAACAUCAUAAUUUAAAUAAUCUUUAAAAAUUAAAUAAGUGAAUAAGCUUUCAUGCAUGCGCGCGCGCAGAUGCUUCCUCACCAUCACUAUUUAUAAACAAGGAAUUAUCUGCAAGAAAACUUAUUCUCAGUGCAAACAUGAUUAUUUACCAUGAGAAACUCAGCCAGUAUAAUUAAUUAGAAGAGAUAAAUUCUCCAUCUAAUAAAAAGAAUGAACCUUGCAGAAAUUUGUUAGACAUGCUUCAAGAAUAUCUCUCUUAUUGCAGAAAAUUAUGGUGCCACAUACCUAGUCGGGUGUCUGAAAAGCACCAAGAUCAUGAAAUUAAACCAAGAAAAUAUAUAAAUAUCAAUGAGAAAUAUUCAGGAGUGAUUUAUGAAAGUCAAUAAAUUUGACAAAAAGAAAGCAAAAUGGAUAGGAGUUUGGUCCGUCCCUUGCAUGUUUAGAUACUGCAUUACCAAGAAUGUUAUAUUUUCACAUGUCACGUUGAAGUUAUUGUAUGAAAGAUCCCUGCAAGUUAACAAUUCAUAAAAUCGAUUUGAAAUUGAUCUUUAUGAAUUGGCAAGUUAACAAUUCAUAUAUUACACUAAAUUGGCAUAAAUUAAUUAAAUUGAUUGGUCUUUUUAAUAAAAUUCUCUUAAUCUUUCUCAUCUCUCAGAGUUCACUAAAUAUACUGAAAUUGCAAGUGCACUUUUUACAAAAGCAGUGUUUUUUUUUAAUGAGUCUUUCACCUUCUCUUACAUGCUUUUCCAAAAUAUAUUUUUAUAACAUGUCAUUUUAUUAAUAAAUAAAUAAAACUAUUAUCAUGACUAGAUUCCAUAAAUUGCUAAAUAAAUAAAGAUUGAAUCUUAUAAUAUAGUUAUUAAAUAUAAAUUGAUAAAUUGAUCUAGAAAAACUUAUAAUCUAAAACCUUACCCGAGCUGAAAUUCAUGUUAAACUAAAAAGAAAUAUUGAUUAGGUGAAGUCCAAUUGAUUCACCUCUAUUUUUAAUAAUUAUAUUAACUUAAUUAAACUAAAUCUAGUUAAUUUAAAGAAUUUUCUUUAAUAAAAUAAAACAAUAUUGUUUUACUUAAAAAUAACUUAAAUUAACUGGGAUAUCUCUCAAAUUAAUUUGAUAAUUUAAACCAUUUUUCGAGUUAGUUUCCGAUUGCGAAUCGAUAACUACAAUCAUUCUACACCUAUAUACACUCUCGGAAAAAGAUAAUGAUAUUCAUUUUUCUCAAAGGAAACUGUUGGUCCACCCAUGUUCACCCUAUGAACAGUCUCCCCACUGGAUUAAAAGUUUCAGCAUCAUCUGUAAUGAGCUCAUCGGGAACUGAAACGACUUCCAAAGGCAUUUAAGAGGCAAAUGAAUUGCCUGAAGAGUGAUGGUGAUAACAGGUCUUGAGUUACAUAACUGAAAAUUCUUUAACAACAGAAGCCUUCAACUGAAAUUGCUGAGGAAACACCAAAACUCGCAUUGCUCAUGUUGUAAGUACCACUAACAAAUGGAUAGAAAUAUAACGAAUCCAUUGCCUCCCGGUUGGUUAAUCAAAAGUGUACUUGAGGUUCCAUCAAAGAUUCUUGCUGUUGAUAGAGUGGUGAAUCAUCCCCAGAAGUGACAGAUAUUGAAGCAUUUGCAAAAGUGUUUUUCGGGGUUGAAAGAAAGUUGGGAGGCAGAGCUAUCAGCAACAAAAACACGGUUACCCACUGUAGUAUUGGUGAGUGAUCCGCAGUCUAUAAGAUAAUUGUCUAUGUUGUAACCUAUUUUUGGAUUCUCAUAGAAAAUAAUAAUAAUAAUAAUAAUAAAUAAAUAAAUAAAUAGCUAGAAGAAAUUAAAAAAAAUAACAAGUGGCGGGAGCAAUCAGAAAAUUAUCAGAAAAAUGAAUUAAGGAGGAUAAAAAUACAAAGAUUAAAAUUUUGACAGUAUAUCCUUAAAUGAUGAGAGCCAUGUUAGAAAAGAAAAUUCAAUUUGAAGAGAAAAGUCCAAAAUUGGAUGUUUAUAGAAUCAAUUGGAUUUUAUUGAAGGUUUAAUUGAAUUUAUAAAGGGUUUGAUUGCAAAACAAAUUUAUUUUUAAGUCAUUUUGGGCUUUAAUUGGAAGAAAUUAAAGUUCUUAGGUCAAAUUAUAAUUUUUUAGAGUUGAUUUGGUCAAAUCAGGGGCUUAAUUGCAUAAAUAUUGAAGUUUAAUGACCAAUUAGGGAUUUAAUUGAGAAAAUCUGAAACCAAGGACCAAAUUGGAAAAGGCGCGUAAAUAGAGGGGCUGUAAUCAACCAAAUCAGGGGUCAAAUUAAAGAAAUUGGAAGGUUAUUAAUCAAUUGAGGGUCCAAAUGCACAAAUUCAAAACCAAGGACUAAAGUGAAAAAAGGCGGACAAUUAUAGGGGCGGCGAUUGAAAUUGGCAGGGAUGCAAUUGAAUUAAUUCUUAAAAUCAAGAUUACAUUGUGAGGACUUAAAAGAACAAAAGAUAAAUUAAGGAUUGAUUUGGAAAUGAAUAUGCUAGCGCCACCUUUAAAUGAAAUGACACGUUUUGUAUAAAGCGACGUCGUUUCAUGUUUAAAAAAAAAAAAACAAAGAGCAAAACGAUGUCGUUUUGAGCGACAUCGUUCCUCUUUCUCCUUCCCCUGGACGUGCAGCAAGGGAAGGCAUACGGUUUUCUUCUUCUUUCUUCAUUGAUUCCUGCGAGCCGCGUGCCCUACGAAAGACCCGAAGCCCCACGCACCUUGAUGAUGAGAAAUCGGGGGCGCCAUGCCUUGCUAGCCGUGCCCACCAACCAACCCAGCGCUGCCCUGCUCCCCAUGCACAUCAAUAAAGAGGCCUCGCUCCCUUGCCCCUACAAAUGGAGACUGAACGCCAGCACGCGAGGGGGACAAAAAAGAGAGAAGGAGGACGAACUGAAAAAGAAAGAAAACGAACCAAAACGGAGAGAACGAACAGGAGAGAGAGAGAAAGAGAGAGAGAACAAACCGGAGGGAGAGAGAACGAACCAACGAAAGGGAAAAACAAAUCGAAAGAGUAGGAAAGGAAACGGAGGAGAAGGGAAGAGCAAUAACCCCUCUCUCCACCGCUUGAAGCAGUAACACCACUUCUUAGAGCCGCCAUCCAUGAGCCGCGACACUGCCACCGGCCUCCACCGCAGCACCGCCAGCAAAGCAGUCAGAACAGUAAGGCAUCGCCUCCACCGCACCAGGUAAACCCCCCCCACCUUCAUUUGUUUUGUUGGCUACAUUUCCUCCUGCAUGUAGAACAAAUAUCGUUCUGCAUGCAAGAGAAGAGGAGGGGGAAAAUAAUUCCCCCCAUCCGUGGGUUUUUUGUUGCUGGCCCAACACUGAUGGGUUCUCCUUUUUCUAGGCCAAACGGGUUUUUGUGGGCCAGGUUGAUUCUGGCCCAGCCUUCAUGUCUGGGCCAGGUCUGGCCUAGACCCAAAGAGGCAGAGUGAACUAGUAGACCGAGAUCGGCCCAACCCUUUUGGGGUUGAGUUCGGCCCAGUUAGUUGGGCUGGCCCAACCCAACCCACCUAAUAUUAUAUAUUAUAUAUUAUAAUGUUUUUAUAUUAUUUAUAAAUAUAGAUAUAAAAAAAAUCUGAAAAAUCUUUAAAAAAAUUGUUGAUUUUCCUGCGUAUUUUUAUCAAAAUUGCUUAAUAUUGGUUUGUAUUUUUAUACUGUAAAGAUACAAAUCUAGUAUUAAAAUACCCGGUUUUUGUCAAGACAUAAAAAAAAUGUUUUGUUUUCAAAAUUCUGAAAAAUUCUUAAAAAAAAUUAUAGAUUUUCAUGCAUAUUUUUAUUGCUUAAUAUUGAUUUGUAUUUUUAUACCGUAAAGAUACUAAUCCAAUAUUAAAAUUUCCGGUUUUCGUCAAGACAUAUAUAUAUAUAUAUAUAUAUAUAGGUUUUGUUUUCAUGCAUACGGUCUAGUUUCUCCAAAAAAAUAUCAUAUUUUUAUACAAUAAAGAAAAUUUCAAAAAAUAUACGUAUUAGCAUGCACUUUGGCUUUAACAACAAGUUUGUUAGAGCCAUGAAAACAAGGCCAAUAUUUCAAAAAUUCUAAAAAAUCUUUUUGUCUUCUUUUAGUAUCUGGGAUUAUGAAUUUAUACGUAAAACAUAUUCCUGAUAUUAAAAAUAUAGUUUUCAAAUAGACGUUAGAACAAUUAGGUUUUUACCCGAUACAAUAAGGACCUCCUUACUAAGGAGAAUUUUUCUUGAACCAUAGACAGACCAACAAUUAGAAAUAUAAUAACACCUUAGCUUUUUAUCAGACAAUUAAACAAUACAGCUUAACUUAGGUAAGACGUAUUUGGGAUACUAAUACCUUUCCUUUACGCAAUCAGUCCCCGUAUCUGAUCUCUGAGACCAGUUAAGGUUACUAGUGACCAAAAUAUUAGGUGGUGACUCACAUUCCAUUUUCCACCGAUAAACGACAAGAGUUUUUUAUCUUCCUAUAUUUGCCAUAUAGAUAGAUAUUAUAUUUAGAUUUGAAGUGGAACAAUUUUUACCGCGACGCCGCACACGUGCGACAGUCUACAUGAGUGAAUCCACUAGAUAAACAUACCAAACUUAAGAUUGACAAAAGUACACAAAUGAAACGUCUAGAUCCUACACUGCCCAUCAUUUCGAAAUCUGGAACUUUACUGGGGAAAUAUGGAAAUCUAUUGAGCUUUAAGAUAUAUAGAAACUAAGGACUCUUAUCAAGGCAGAGCACUAGGGUGCCCCUAGUAAUCAAUAGCAGAACAAUAGAAACCAAAAUCCAUGAAGAGGGAUGAAUAAGGAAGUGAAAUCAAAAUCCAAGAUUGCAUAAUAUAGCAAGAGCAAGCAAAGAAGUUGGCGCUUUUCAGUUACAGAUACGGAAGAAAUCUAAAUCCUAAAUAGCAAUGUAUAGAAUUGAACAAGAAAGACAAAUCUAAAGUAGCCAAAAGCAAUACAAGGAAAGGAGCUUGUAGUUGUUGUUACUCACAAAUAAAUGAAGAAAAGAUGGCACACCUUGAACAAAAUUUGAGGUCAAAAGGGGGGGACCAGAUGGGAAAUACUUGUGAGGAGGACAAGGUAAAUAUGGUAUAUUUUGAAAUGCUAAAAGGGCUUUCAGUUCAAAUAAAAAGAAGUCAAAAUACAAGCUGGUGCGAACUAGAACUUUACUGGGGAAAUAUUGAAAUAUAUUUUAAUCAUGAAAAAAAUAUAUUUUAAUCAUCUAAUUAAAUAUUUUUUUUAUAGUUUAUUUUAUUCUAUUUUUUUUAUGUUUCUUGUUAUAUGAUUAUAUAAAUCUUGCUUGAGUUGAGUAUAACAUAUAUUUCAAAUUAUUAAAUAAUAAUAUCCUUUUCUAUUAUAAAUUUCGUUAAUUAGCAUUUAAUGUUCGCAGAACAUGUUUGGUUUGAUAAUAACAUAAAAAAAAAAAAAAUUAUUCAUUUACUUACUUUAUUCAAAAGAAACUUAACUUCUUGGUUUUGAUGCGUAUUUAAUAGUUUUUUAAUUUUAUUAAAAUUGUUUUUUCUAAUAUAUAAAUAGCAUAUAAUAGUUGUGAUACUUUUUAUUGGAAAAAUAUUGAGUAAUAAAAAUUAGAAUUAAAAUUAAUUGAAACUUUUUCUGCAAAAUACUGUAUUUCUGUGUGUUGUCUUUCUUGUUUCUUGUUUCCGCCUGCAUCAUGAACCUUUAAAAUAAUUCAUAAAUUCAAUCAAGAAUUCCCUGUCUGCAUUUUGCUGCAGUCAGCUGUGGUCACUUUUUUGCCAAUUCUGGCUGCAGAGAACUUUGCAGCUACGACGAAAGAUGCAAAAUUCUUUUUGGAAUUCAGUUCUGUUUAGAGAAGAAUCAAGCUAAUAGGUUCAGGUACCACUGGGAGAGACAGAAAGAAGCAGCUAUGGUUCAACAAGGCAUGAUCCUUGCUCAAUGAGAAGUGUAGAAAAACUGGUAUAUAAACCACACAAUCUGUGUAACAUGGUGGUCUGCAUGAUCAACAAUGGUAGUUGUCUUCUCAAUUAGAGUAUACAUAUAAGUAGGCAUUGUUUAAAAACCACAACAAAUUGGAAGACUCAUUAUUGAUGCUGCCACUCUCUCAGUUAAAGAUGUUUCUUUAAGCCUUAACGACGAUAUCGACUGAGCUCAUCUGAUUGCUAUAAGAACAAAGGAUAUUGAAUUGUCUCAUUCUGAUUGCUGCAAAACCUCAACAAAUGCUUCCUUCAAAAGCGGGUUUGAAGCUGCGACUCUUUGAGUAGUGAUGUCAAAAUCUUUACCAGAUCUGUAGCCGAAAGAGCAACCAUCAAAAUAUCAGAACACGCAUUAUAUUCUGGACAAAAUGUGAGCAUAUGCUUAUGUUCUUAAUAUCUUUGACCUAUUGCUUGCCCGGAUGACAGAGUUGAGGAUGUCACAAGACGACGAUUAAAUCAUGUUGACAUUCGAUAAACACUGUUCUUUCAUGUCCAUGCAUGGGACUAUCCUCUCUAUAUCCCACACUACCCCCACCUAAGUUGUGGAAGGGAUGAAAUAUAAAUAGCAUCACUUACGGGUCAUAAACGAUUCCUCCAGCUUCUUUGACAAUCACAGCACCACCUGCCACAUCCCUGAGUUCAAGAGUAGAUUAUAUCAAUCAUGCGUCCAGAUGAACUUUUCUUGCGUCAAUCACAAAUACGUACCACGGGCCUCCAUAUCCGGUUUCAUAAAACAAAUCAAUCCUUCCACAUGCAACUCCGCAAAGAUUCAAUGCACAGGAGCCAGUCAUCCUAAGGGAUCUCACCUGAUAACAAGAUAAUCAGAUAUGAAUUUUAAGAAAACCAACACAUUUUACCAAAGCACAUAGCUUCCACAGCAUGUUCUGGUCUCACCUUGAAAAGUAAGGUGUUAAUUCUGUUCGUUGUGGCAUCCACAGUAGACUUGUCACGUUUUGUUCCAGCCUGCUCUUAGAAGAAUUUAGUUUGGUCAGUUCCUAACAUGAUUCCUUAUGAAACAUAAAGGAGUGGACUUGAAGUAGAAAGGAGUUUUAACCAGAUUCCACACAGAGCAUAACAGGGGUGAACUUAAAGCACUCCUUUUGCAGGGUAUUUGCAAGUGCAACAUGGUAAAAACUAAAUACAUUCACAACGCAUAGAUCUGCAUUUCAAAUACAGGGAGUUGGAUUUCUAGAGUCUACGAACAAUAUUUUAAUAUAAACGAGAAGGGUUAGCAUGCCAGAAAAAUCAAUCCAGGGUUAAAACAAGCUACCCUUACUCAGCACUUAACAUUUCUGACACUAUCUGGAGUUAAGACUGAAAUUGAUUGUGCCCAAGGCAAUUUUAACACCCUUCAAACCGAUCCAAUAAGAAACCAAUUGGAGAUGUACAGUUAGAAGGAUAGAAUUGUACCAAAAAAAUAUGAGACAGUAGGGCACCAAUUCAUCUCAGGUUUCAAAACUGAUUCCCGGUUAUAUUUCAGUUUAAGCUAUCUAAACUGAAAAGCAUCUCAGUUUGCAAGUUUGGGCAGACAAAAAUGAUGCUGAAAAGCAUACCUCUGUUGCAAGAAGAGAUUUCACAAGCUCACUUUGAGAUGAUACUGCAAUCGAAACACAAGUACAUAGCUGCUUAAGUUUCAUGGAAAGAUUAGCAUGCAAAAGUAUCAAAAUAUGGAAACUGACAAUAGUCAACUCAGAGACACCUUUUAUGGGUUUUCCAUUCAGAAAUGCACCUUUUCCAUGGACGCCUGUAAAAAGCUGCAUUUAUAAAUCCAAAAUCUUUUAGCAAAUUACUGGAUCACAUUUCAAAUUCUAUAAAAUUUUGACAGAACAUUAACUUCGAUGUUAAAUGGGACAAUAUACGACCACAUAUCUGAAGUGAAAGCAAGAAGUGUUCAAGAAGGCAGACAAAAGUUUGAUGGACUAACUGCUUAGAUAUAGCUAGAUACUCGUUUUCCCGAUAUUUAAAUACUGGCAGACUCAACAUCAUAAAGCAGACAUUUAUCUGAGUAGAGGACCAUGCAGCUGAAAACUAGUGGUCACUGGUCAGUGUUCAUUUUGUGAGGAAAGAUGCACUAACAUCCAGCAUACAUGUAGAAGAUCACCAGGCUAUAUGAAAGGAGGUAAACUCUGCAUGUUCUACAUAAAAUUUUAAUCAUUUAAAGUUCAAAGUAAUAUCUGGCCACCUAAAACUAACAUGCAAUAUAUAAAAUCUCACCUCUUCCAUUAUUGGGUUGUAAACAACACCUACUGUAGGAACUUUUCCAAUUGUAAGACCAAUAGAAAUGCACACAAAGGGGAACCUACAUCCAAACAUGUUGCGACAAAUUAAAGUGAUGUUACAUGUAUAAAAACAAGAGGAAAUUGCCUUCACUAAACAAUGUUAAAAAAAAAAAUUGCAUUUACCCAUGGACAAAGUUGGUUGUUCCAUCAAGAGGAUCAACUAUCCAUGUCGGUUCAUCAGUCAGUUCCGUAAUACCACAGGCAGCAGUAGUUUCUUCCCCAAUGAACUAAGAAAACCAGCAAAAGAGAACUUUCAAGAGAAAAACAGAGGCACUUUUUAGGAGACAAUAUUCCCCGUACAGAUCAAUAAUGCUCAAAUUCAUCACCUACAAAGUAGAAAAUACUAAAGUAAGUUGUUAACCUUAUGUGAGGGGUGCUGCUGUUUGAGAUAAUUAAAAAUAAGAUCCUCACAAGCCUUGUCAGUCUCAGUAACUAAAUCCACCUGCAAUUGAGAAAUAAAAUAAACAAUUGUCAGUAAUUACACGCAUAUAGUGAAGUAUGUUUAGCCACAGCACUUUUAUCCGGGCUAAAUUAACACAAAUGGGUUGGCAACUUCUAAUUUUUUAAUUUCCUCCUCUGCUCCACAGUUAUGAUGAUACAGUCCAAUUAACAAAGGAAAUAUGCUAGCAUUACAAAAUAGCAAAAGCACUUUCAAUUUUUUUACAAACUCGAUGACCUCAGCGUGAAGAUCAAAACUUUGUUUCCCAGCAGCUUUACAAACAAGGAUUUUAGCACCUCAUGCACGAUGAAUUCAAUUACCGUUAGCUUUACAGACGUUGAUGCUAAAUUCAAUUGCCAUUUUAAAGCUCCCCCGGCAUGUUAAAUUCAAUUCCCAGUUUUGUUACAAAACAAGAUCACCUCAAUGCCAAGAUUAAAACUUUAUUUCCAUUAGCUUUACAAACUGGGAUCUUAAAGUCCCCCCUUGCAUUCUAAAUUCAAUUUGCAAGCAGAUAUAAUCAAUCACUGAUCUGAAUUCAAGAUUAUUUAGCAGCAUUUGAUCAACAAUUCUCCUUUCUUUAGGGGAAAAAAAUUGCUAAGCACUACACAGACUCUACAUUCAAGAUCACAUGAUGCAACAAGAAUGUCCAAGAUAAGACUACCUUGAUUAACGACCAACAAGAAAAAGAGAUACAAAAGAACCCAAGAAAAGCAAAGAUGGGUACCAGGCCUUUAUGCUCCACAUGCUUGGUCUGGUAGAAUCCUUCACGGAUUAUCUACAAGGCACACAAGAAAUGGAAAAUGAGACUAAAUUUGAGACCCCUAAAAAAGGAAAAACAAAAUCUAAAAUUUAUAUCUCACCUCUCCAGCUCUCUUUGCUGCCUCAACAGCAGUCUGCAAGAACUCUGAAAGAGAAUCUAAAACAUCCCAAAUAAAAAACAAAAUGCAAAAAUCAUCAAGAUCCCAUACUGAAAAUGAACCAAGAAAUCAAAAACAAAACGAGAAAGAAUGCAAUAAAAAAAACUUGAUGGGGUCCUACCAUUCUGUGCCAUGUUUUAAAAUUUGUAUGUAGAAAGAAGAGAGUGACAGAGGGAAGUAGAUUGUGGUGGAGGUGAUGGUGAUGAAAGGCUCUGUGUCUUGAGUUUUUUUACGUCUAAAAGGAAGCAGCAGGCAAACCACAAAAUGGACCGUUUGAUUUCUGUUUUUUUCUCUCUUUAUACAUAUAUAUGCUGAAGAAUCUGCCUUUUCACCCAGUCUGUGUACUUUUUGCAUCAAAUUCCUGGUGAAAAAGGAAGUCCUUUAAUGGUGCCUUUUGAGUCCUUUUAACCCUUUUUUAUGGCUAUUCUUCCCCUACGUCAUAUUGUUACUCUUGAGUUUUCCUAUGAAAUUAAGAAAAUAUUAACAUCCAAAUGAUGGGGAAAGAGAUUUGCUCAAUUUUGAAUGAUGGAGGGCAUCAUUGGUGAGCCUAGGAAGAUAGGGACCA
rnacentral:lncRNA from 1 species